rnacentral:snRNA from 1 species
GUGCUCACUUUAGCAGCACAUAUACUGAAACUGGAGCAUUUCAGAGAAGAUUCGCAUAGUCCUUAAUUGAGCAUGACAUGCAAAUUCAUAAAUACAUGCCUUA